rnacentral:rRNA from 1 species
UACGGAAGGCAGCAGUGGGGAAUAUUGCACAAUGGGCGCAAGCCUGAUGCAGCCAUGCCGCGUGUAUGAAAAAGGCCUUCGGGUUGUAAAGUACUUUCAGUCGUGAGGAAGGUGUUAAGGUUAAUAACCUUAGCAAUUGACGUUAGCGACAGAAGAAGCACCGGCUAACUCCGUGCCAGCAGCCGCGGUAAUACGGAGGGUGCGAGCGUUAAUCGGAAUUACUGGGCGUAAAGGGCACGCAGGCGGUUAAUUAAGUUGGAUGUGAAAUCCCCGGGCUUAACCUGGGAAUGGCAUUCAAGACUGGUUAGCUAGAGUCUUGUAGGGGGGUAGAAUUCCAUGUGUAGCGGUGAAAUGCGUAGAGAUGUGGAGGAUACCGGUGGCGAAGGCGGCCCCUGGACAAGACUGACGCUCAUGUGCGAAAGCGUGGGGAGCAAACAGGGAUUAGAUACC